GGGCUUUCAGAAAAACGUCUGGUUAAAGUAUUGGAUAGUUAGCUUCCGCUCUUCCGCUCCUACUGAGGUGAAAGGGUGAAAUUUGGUAUUUCGGGGGAGGGGCGGUGGGCGUUAAGUGAUCUUGAAUCUUCAAAGUCGGGGGGAUAAAAUAGGAUUAGAGACCCUAUUAUACCUUGAUGAAAGCGAUAGCGGCUGGGGGUAGUAAGAAGAUAUGGGCUUGAAACUCAAAGGAAUUGGCGGUAUUUAAGUCUAGUUAGAGGAACCUGUGUGGUAAACGAUAAUCCGCGAGCAUCUAGCCCUCCCUUGUAAGGUCAGUUUGUAUACCGCCAUUAUCAGGUAAUUUUACGAGAAAUUUACUUUAAAAGAGUCAUUGUCUAGAAAAUUAGGUCAAGGUGCAGCCUAUGGGAGGGCCUGUCAUGGGUUACAUUAAGAUGGGGUUAUACGGAGAGAGUGAGGUAGUGGGCUCUUGAAGGAGGAUUUAAUUGUAAGCGGGUGAAUGCAAGGCCGUUGAUAGGGGCUCUUGAAUAUGUACACAUCGCCCGUCGUUCUCGCUCU
rnacentral:rRNA from 1 species